CUACCGUUGCACACAGUAACUACUCAAGAAACAUUUGUUCCACUGGACCGUUGGCCUGGGGCUGUCAAAACAAAGGACAACAAAUGUGGAGGACAGUUUCUCUGACAGAAUGAUGAGAAUUAAUUCUUUACAACUCUAUUUCAUAUCCUGAACGAAGAUAUUCAUGUGAUCACUGCUGAUAUGUCUCCGAGGUCUGCAAUUACUAUCUACAGGAUCAUCUUCCAAUUAAACUGUUUGGCCUUGAAUGCUGGUCCAAGGGUCUGCUUCCAGGGAAACCCAAGCUCUUACCAAGGUUACUCUGCCUGACACUGGGACUAGCCAGGGAAGGACAGAGAUGGCCAGAGAAGGACAGAGGCAGCCAGGGAGUAUGAAAGUAAAAAAAAAAAAAACUGGAGUUCCAGAGAAAACAUCGGCAUGCUCCCAUUCUAGUCAACACAGACCAGAUGCUCAGCAGCAGGAACGAUCCUUUAUGAUUAGAGUGUCUUACGAACAUAUGCUACAGCACCACGGCAUCCCUCUUCCGAGUCCGCGUACCUCUGCCCA